UCCAGUGAAUUUUAAAGGUAAUUCUGUUCCAUAGCCACAUAAAUAGACAUAUAGAUGCAUUCGUAUAUUUUGCUCACCAACUCUUUUUUUUGUCUUCAGUAAAUGACAUUAAAUAAUCUUUUAGCAUUAGAAGCAGUAGAAUUAGUACCAACAGAUUCCUGCAAGUUCAGAGUGUUGGUCUUAUGAUAAAAAUACAGUGAUUAUUUUCCUGCCUGUGCUUCAGAACAACCUGAUAAUGUAAAAAACGAGCUUUUCUGAAGCCAAGCUUUGCGGAGCUCCGGGCUGUUUUUACAGGAGACAGCGCCACAUGCUGGUUUUUACAAUGUGGAAGAGAAACAGAUUCAGAAAUACAAAGAGAAAAGAGAUGACUAAACCAGAAGGCUUGGAGAGCACCUUUUGCUCUGUUGACAAAUAAAAAUUUGCUAUUAUAUCAAGAGCAUAGAAGUCACGGUGUUUAAGUUGGAAAACAAUAAGAGUUUAGCUACAUGAAUGAAUAGAAAGGAUUGAAUAUUAGAGACAUUAUGCCAAAGAAUACAGAUUUAAACAAACUUUGAUUUUCAAGAUGUGGAGAUCAACGUCCGAGAAUCAAAGAUGGUGCCCAAAAAUUCUCCACAAGGUGGUUUCGUCUACAAUGCCAAAGAAAGGAGACAAAACACGACAAAUUAGGAACAUAAAGAAAGAGACACCCAUAAAGAAAGGUCAGAGGCAAAAAUGCUGUUAGCUGAAUUAAUCUAUUUAUUUCCUCCCAAGGGCUCUCAUCUUCUUCAAGGUCACACAGAAUAGGACAAAGCCAAGGCCUCAAUUGCCCCAAAUCUGUGUCUUCAGCUAGUUUGCAAAAAUAAGUUUUCCAAUAAAAAUAUAUCUUAC